AUGGCCAAAUCCGCGUGGGGCAGAGGCGGUGGAGGCCGCGUAGGGGCGGAGGCGAAGAAGGCCGUGUUGGCGAAGAGGCGCGCGGAGGCGCGGUGGUGGAGUCGAGGGAGAGGCGCGGGAUGUGGCCCUGACGACGACGGCGGUAGACAACGACAGCAACCUCGUUGGGGCGACAACAAGCGGGAGGCCACGACAACGAGGAGGCACAUGAAUAAGAAAAGAAGAACAGAAAGACUUGUACGGUAUAGCGCCGUGCAUUUCGUUAUGCUGUACAUCUCGAUCAGGUAUAUCGAAUGCAACUUCAACUUCCACAGUUGCAUGACCUACCACGAGCAAAAUGAAUUAAACUGCCAAUUGUAACGAAGCCUUC
rnacentral:lncRNA from 1 species